CGGGGCUACGGGGAGAGCGCUCGCACCGCCCGGGCAGGAGGACAUAGUGGCUGAGCGCUUUUUCCCCUCCGACCCCCCGCUUCCGUGGGAGCGGCAGGAAAUGGAAGGGCCCCUCUCCUCUCUCUGAACAGUUGAUCUCUCUUUUUGUGUUUCUUUCCUCCACCUCUCCAGAAGGGAAGACGGGGAAAGCGGGCAGGCGGCUCGGCGGGUGCGUUCUCCCCUCCUCCGCCGUGUCCCCUCGGCUGUGCAGGGACUGGCCAUGGGGCUGCUCCAGGUGUUCGCUUUCAGUUUCUUAGCCCUGUGCGGAGCCCAAGUGCGCGCUCAAGAACCCGAAUUCAGCUACGGCUGCGCGGAGGGCAGCUGCUACCCCGCCACUGGCGACCUUCUCAUCGGCCGAGCACAAAAGCUCUCGGUGACCUCGACGUGCGGGCUGCACAAGCCUGAGCCCUACUGUAUUGUCAGCCACCUCCAGGAGGACAAAAAAUGCUUCAUAUGCAAUUCACAAGAUCCUUAUCAUGAGACCCUCAAUCCUGACAGUCAUCUCAUUGAAAAUGUGGUCACUACGUUUGCUCCAAACCGCCUUAAGAUUUGGUGGCAAUCCGAAAAUGGCGUGGAAAACGUAACUAUCCAACUGGAUCUGGAAGCAGAAUUCCAUUUUACUCAUCUCAUAAUGACUUUCAAGACAUUCCGUCCAGCCGCGAUGCUGAUAGAACGAUCGUCUGACUUCGGGAAAACCUGGGGUGUGUACAGAUACUUUGCCUAUGACUGUGAGGGCUCAUUUCCAGGCAUUUCAACUGGCCCCAUGAAAAAAGUGGAUGAUAUAAUCUGUGAUUCCCGCUAUUCUGACAUUGAACCCUCGACGGAAGGAGAGGUGAUAUUUCGUGCUUUAGAUCCCGCGUUCAGAAUAGAAGAUCCUUAUAGUCCGAGGAUACAGAAUCUCUUAAAAAUCACCAACUUGAGAAUCAAGUUUGUGAAGCUCCACACUUUGGGAGAUAACCUUUUGGAUUCCCGGAUGGAAAUCAGGGAAAAGUAUUACUAUGCAGUUUAUGAUAUGGUGGUUCGAGGAAAUUGCUUCUGCUACGGUCAUGCCAGCGAAUGCGCCCCUGUGGAUGGAAUCAAUGAAGAAGUAGAAGGAAUGGUUCAUGGGCACUGCAUGUGCAGGCAUAAUACCAAGGGCUUAAACUGUGAGCUGUGCAUGGAUUUCUACCACGAUUUACCUUGGAGACCCGCUGAAGGUCGAAACAGCAAUGCCUGUAAAAAGUGUAACUGCAAUGAACAUUCGAGCUCGUGCCACUUUGACAUGGCCGUGUACUUGGCCACCGGCAAUGUCAGCGGAGGGGUGUGCGAUGACUGUCAGCACAACACCAUGGGACGCAAUUGUGAACAGUGCAAGCCGUUUUACUUCCAGCACCCGGAGAGAGACGUCCGAGACCCUCACCUCUGUGAACGAUGUACCUGUGACCCAGCUGGAUCUCAGAAUGGGGGAAUCUGUGACAGUUACACCGAUUUUUCUGCUGGACUCAUUGCCGGCCAGUGUCGGUGUAAAUUACACGUGGAAGGAGAACAUUGUGAACUUUGCAAAGAGGGCUUCUACGGCUUAAGUGCUGAAGAUCCAUUUGGUUGUAAAUCUUGUGCCUGCAAUCCUCUGGGAACGAUUCCUGGCGGGAAUCCUUGUGAUUCUGAGACUGGUUACUGCUACUGUAAGCGUCUGGUGACAGGACAGCAUUGUGACCAGUGUCUGCCGGAGCACUGGGGUUUGAGCAAUGAUUUGGAUGGAUGUCGACCUUGUGACUGUGACCUUGGAGGGGCUUUAAACAACAGCUGUUCCCCUGAAUCGGGCCAGUGCGCGUGCCGACCGCACGUGAUCGGGCGUCAGUGCAACGAAGUGGAGUCUGGUUACUACUUCACCACCUUGGAUCACUACAUCUACGAAGCAGAAGAAGCCAACUUUGGGCCCGGGGUCAGCAUCGUGGAGCGGCAGUACGUUCAAGACCGGAUUCCUUCCUGGACGGGAGCCGGCUUCGUCCGAGUGCCUGAAGGGGCUUAUUUGGAGUUUUUCAUUGACAACAUACCAUAUUCCAUGGAGUAUGACAUCUUAAUUCGCUAUGAGCCACAGCUCCCCGACCGCUGGGAAAAAGCUGUCAUCAUGGUGCAGCGACCUGGAAAGAUCCCAACCAGCAGCCGAUGCGGUAAUACCAUUCCCGAUGAUGACAACCAGGUGGUGUCCUUAUCGCCUGGCUCAAGGUAUGUCGUCCUUCCGCGCCCCGUGUGCUUUGAGAAGGGUGUGAAUUACACGGUGAGGUUAGAGCUGCCUCAGUACACGUCCUCCGACAGCGACCUGGAGAGUCCCUACACGCUUAUUGACUCCCUUGUUCUCAUGCCGUUUUGUAAAUCACUGGAUAUCUUCACCGUGGGAGGAUCAGGGGACGGGUUGGUCACCAACAGCGCCUGGGAAACCUUUCAGAGAUACAGAUGUCUGGAGAACAGCAGAAGUGUUGUGAAAACACCAAUGACUGACGUGUGCAGAAACAUAAUCUUCAGCAUUUCUGCCCUGUUACACCAGACAGGCCUGGCUUGUGAAUGUGACCCCCAGGGCUCCUUAAGUUCCGUCUGCGAUCCCAAUGGAGGCCAGUGCCAGUGCCGGCCCAACGUGGUUGGAAGAACCUGCGACAGAUGUGCCCCGGGCACCUUCGGCUUUGGCCCCAGUGGCUGCAAACCUUGUGAGUGCCACCUGCAAGGGUCCGUCAACGCUUUCUGCGACCCCAUCACUGGCCAGUGCCACUGCUUCCAGGGGGUGUAUGCUCGGCAGUGUGACCGGUGCUUGCCCGGCUACUGGGGCUUCCCCAGCUGCCAGCCCUGCCAGUGUAACGGCCACGCCGACGACUGUGACUCUGCCACCGGGGCGUGCUCGGGCUGCCAGGACUACACCACGGGGCACAACUGUGAAAGGUGCUUGGCCGGUUACUAUGGCGAUCCCAUCAUUGGGUCAGGAGAUCACUGCCGCCCUUGUCCUUGCCCAGAUGGUCCCGACAGUGGACGCCAGUUCGCCAAUAGCUGCUAUCAAGAUCCUGUUACUUUACAGCUUGCCUGUGUCUGUAAUCCCGGAUACGUUGGCUCCAGAUGUGACGACUGUGCCUCAGGCUUCUUUGGCAAUCCCUCGGACGUGGGGGGCUCCUGUCAGCCUUGCGAGUGUCACGGCAACAUUGACACGACAGACCCGGAAGCCUGUGACAGGAAGACUGGAAGGUGCCUUAAGUGCCUGUACCACACGGAAGGGGACCAGUGCCAGCUCUGCCGACUCGGGUACUAUGGGGAUGCGCUCCGCCAGGACUGUCGAAAAUGUGUCUGCAAUUACCUGGGCACCGUGCAGGACCACUGCAACGGCUCUGACUGCCAGUGUGACAAAACCACCGGUCAGUGCUCGUGUCUUCCUAAUGUGGUCGGGCAGAACUGUGACCGCUGUGCGCCCAACACCUGGCAGCUGGCCAGCGGGACCGGGUGUGACCCGUGCAGCUGUGAUCCCGCUCAUUCCUUUGGGCCGUCGUGCAAUGAGUUCACGGGGCAGUGCCAGUGCAUGCCUGGGUUCGGAGGCCGCACCUGCAGCGAGUGCCAGGAGCUCUUCUGGGGAGACCCCAACGUGGAGUGCCGAGCCUGUGACUGUGACCCCAGGGGCAUCGAGACACCACAGUGUGACCAGUCCACCGGCCGGUGCGUCUGCGUGGAGGGUGUCGAGGGCCCGCGCUGUGACAAAUGCACACGCGGGUACUCGGGGGUCUUCCCCGACUGCACUCCCUGCCACCAGUGCUUUGCCGUGUGGGAUGUGAUCGUCGCCGAGUUGACCAAUCGGACCCAGAAGUUCCUGGAGAAAGCCAAGGCCCUGAAGAUCAGCGGCGUGAUUGGGCCUUACCGGGAGACUGUGGACUCGGUGGAGAAGAAAGUCAAUGAGAUCAGAGACAUCCUGGCCCAGAGCCCAGCCACGGAGCCGCUGAAGAACAUCGGGGAUCUCUUUGAGGAAGCAGAGAAAUUAACCAAAGAUGUUACAGACAAGAUGGCUCAAGUAGAAGUGAAAUUGUCUGACACAGCUUCCCAAAGCAACAGUACGGCCAGAGAACUAGAUUCUCUACAGACAGAAGCAGAAAGCCUAGACAACACAGUGAAAGAGCUUGCUGAGCAGUUGGAAUUUAUCAAAAACUCAGAUAUUCGGGGCGCCUUGGAUAGCAUCACCAAGUAUUUCCAGAUGUCUCUAGAGGCAGAGGAGAGGGUGAACGCCUCCACCACAGAUUCCAACAGCACUGUGGACCAGUCGACUCUCACUCGGGACAGAGUAGAAGAGUUGUUGUUGGAACGAGAAUCCCAGUUCAGGGAAAAACAAGAGGAACAGGCCCGCCUUCUGGAUGAACUGGCAGGCAAACUACAGAGUCUAGACCUUUCAGCCGUUGCCGAGAUGACCUGUGGGACGCCUCCAGGGGCCUCUUGUUCCGAGACCGAGUGUGGCGGCCCGAACUGCAGGACUGACGAAGGAGAGAAGAAGUGUGGGGGACCCGGCUGCGGCGGCCUGGUCACGGUCGCCCACAGUGCCUGGCAGAAAGCCAUGGACUUUGACCGCGAUGUCCUGAGCGCCCUGGCCGAGGUGGAGCAGCUCUCCAAGAUGGUCUCUGAAGCGAAACUGAGGGCAGACGAGGCAAAACAAAAUGCUCAGGAUGUUCUGCAGAAAACCAAUGCCACCAAAGAAAAAGUGGACAAGAGCAAUGAGGACCUGAGAAAUCUGAUCAAGCAAAUCCGAAACUUUUUGACCCAGGAUAGUGCUGAUUUGGACAGCAUUGAAGCAGUUGCUAACGAAGUGCUGAAAAUGGAAAUGCCCAGCACCCCAGAGCAGUUACAGAACUUGACAGAAGACAUUCGGGAGCGAGUUGAAAGCCUUUCUCAAGUAGAGGUUAUUCUACAGCAAAGCGCUGCUGACAUUGCCAGAGCGGAGAUGUUGCUAGAAGAAGCUAAAAGAGCCAGCAAAAGUGCAACUGAUGUUAAAGUCACUGCAGACAUGGUCAAGGAGGCUCUGGAGGAAGCAGAAAAGGCCCAGAUUGCAGCAGAGAAAGCAAUUAAACAAGCAGAUGAAGACAUCCAGGGAACCCAGAACCUGCUGACUUCGAUUGAGUCGGAAACAGCGGCUUCGGAGGAGAACUUGCUCAAUGCCUCCCAGCGCAUCAGCGAGCUUGAGAGGAAUGUGGAAGAACUGAAACGGAAGGCUGCCCAGAACUCUGGGGAGGCAGAAUAUAUUGAGAAAGUAGUAUACACCGUGAAACAAAGUGCGGAUGAUGUUAAGAAGGCAAGUAAAUCCUUGUGACUUCACAGCUGUGUUUUGUAAAGGAGCAAUAAGCCUCCUCAACCGCCUUCCCUGGGAUUCGUAAGGGAUGUGGACCUAUCAGAAACAUCCCAAGUGACCGGUUUUGAAACAACAGUCUUUAGAGGCACAGAUGGAAAGGGUGGGAGUGGAUAGGGAAGUGUCCAGUAAGCGUGACCUAAGCCCUCAUAUCCAAACUUGGAUAAGGGUGCAGAAAAAUGAAAGUAACUUGGGGGGGGGGGGGGGAGUCUUUUAUUAUUUAACUGUUUGAUUUAGAGAGAGGGAAUCCCAAGCAAGCUCCACGCCGUCAGUGCAAGGCCUGCCACAGGGCUCAGUAUCACAAACUGUGUGAGAUCAUGACCUGAGCUGAAAUCAACCGACUGAGCCAUGCAGGCUCCCCAGGGGCAGAAGUCUUAAAACCGGCGUACUGAGCUUGUACUUUAUGGCGUAAUUACCUGGCCUUUAAAAGCAGGGUAGAAAAAGCUUAAGGGGUUCACACCAGAACAGCUGGCAGGGAACUAAACCUCACCCCUUCUUCUCGCUGGAAGGUGCUGUAUUUUGCAGAGAAGGUCUCCUAGGAUUCCCAUUUGUCAUUAGAAGCCAAGUUAUCACUGAAAACAUGUUUAGUGGGCAAAUGUCUCUCUCCAAAGGAACCUUUUAAACUUCUGAGGGGAGCAUUCAACCCUUGACGUCUGGUUAGGGAAGAGAACAAAACAGUGAGAAAAGUGUUCUGUCCUGUUCAUUUUUCUGUCAUGGUUUGUACUUUCUUGCAGCUCUGAGAGCAUAAAUCUCUCAAGCAGUCUUUACAGAGCAUUUUUGCAAAAAUAUAGCACUUGAUUACAGUAAGAACAAAACCCUGAAAUGAAAUCCCUCUAUCAAAUGGCUGUUGUUGGAACCGUGUUCCCCAAAAGCAGCACUUGUGGUGCCUUUUCAGUUUCACAGCUCCUCGCCCACCCCUGUGCCCUGUGUGCAUGCUAGUCUCCCCUAUCCUUCCUUAACUCUCUACGCACCCGGGUCCAGAUCCAGAUGGCCCUUGUCUGAGAUCUAAGUGAUUAGAUCUCAGCAAAUCUACUUUAGAGAAAAAUAUACUUCUCUACCUCCAUAUAACUGUCCUAUAACAUCUCCAGAAAAGUGCUAACCUAAAGGCUUAGCCCUAGAGACCUGCUUACAACUCCACACGUGAGUUUAAAAACUCAUGUUGGUGUUAUAUUUAAUUUCACUGUUCCACAAUAUUUUCAACAUAUUUACACUGAAUAGCUCAACGCCUGAGUACGGUUCCAAGCUUGCUCCAAUUACACUAGGCUCUUGAUGUCUGAGAUUACAUUUAUCACCUCUUUGUGUCUCGAUGGAACUACAGGCUCUGGAUGGUGAAGUUGAUGAAAAGUAUAAGAAAGUAGAAAAAUUAAUUGCCCAAAAAACUGAAGAGUCAGCUGAUGCCAGAAGAAAAGCUGAAAUGCUACAAAAUGAAGCAAAAACACUUUUGGCUCAAGCAAACAGCAAACUGCAGCUCCUGAAAGAUUUAGAAAGAAAAUAUGAGGACAAUCAAAAAUAUUUAGAAGAUAAAGCUCAAGAAUUAGUAAGACUGGAAGGAGAAGUCCGUUCGCUCCUCCAGGAUAUAAGCCAGAAAGUUGCUGUUUACAGCACCUGCUUGUAACAAAGGGCUGCAAGGUGGCUGAGGUGACCAAAGUAAAAUAGCUACAUUUUAAAAACUGACAAUGAUCUUCAAAAGUAAAACUGAUUACCUAUUUAAUGUUUUUAAUCACCACAUUUUGUAUGGAGUUAAAUAAAGUACAGUGCUUUUGUAUAAAUCUA